GAUGAACGCUGGCGGCGUGCUUAACACAUGCAAGUCGAACGGGCUAGCUUAGGCUAGCUAGUGGCAAACGGGUGCGUAACACGUAGGUAACCUACCCAGAAGAUGGGGACAACAGAUGGAAACGUCUGCUAAUACCCGAUGUGCUCGCGAGAGUAAACACGUAAGUGGCUUCUGGAGGGGCCUGCGGCCUAUCAGGUAGUUGGUGAGGUAACGGCUC
rnacentral:rRNA from 1 species